GAUGAACGCUAGCGGCAGGCCUAAUACAUGCAAGUCGAACGGUGUCUUCGGACAUAGUGGCGCACGGGUGCGUAACACGUAUGCAACCUACCUUACAUUGGGGGAUAGCCUUUCGAAAGGGAGAUUAAUACCGCAUAAGACAGUAGCUGGGCAUCCAGCAGCUGUUAAAGAUUUAUCGAUGUAAGCUGGGCAUGCGUCCAAUUAGCUAGUUGGUGAGGUAACGGCUCACCAAGGCAAUGAUUGGUAGGGGAACUGAGAGGUCAAUCCCCCACACUGGCACUGAGAUACGGGCCAGACUCCUACGGGAGGCAGCAGUAGGGGAUAUUGGGCAAUGGACGCAAGUCUGACCCAGCCAUGCCGCGUGCAGGAUGAAGGCGUUAUGCGUUGUAAACUGCUUUUAUACAGGAAGAAACGACUCUUGCGAGAGGCAUUGACGGUACUGUAUGAAUAAGCACCGGCUAACUCCGUGCCAGCCGCCGCUGUAAAAC
rnacentral:rRNA from 1 species